rnacentral:rRNA from 1 species
AAGUCGUAACAAGGUCUCCGUAGGUGAACCUGCGGAGGGAUCAUUACUGAGUGAGGGCCUCCGGCCCGACCUCCAACCCUUUGUCAAUCAUAACCACUGUUGCCUCGGGGGUGACCCGGCCUCCGCGUCGGGGCCCCCGGUGGACCACUGUCAAACUCUUGCGUCUCUGCGUCUGAGUGUAAAGUAAAUGUAAUCAAAACUUUCAACAACGGAUCUCUUGGUUCUGGCAUCGAUGAAGAACGCAGCGAAAUGCGAUAAGUAAUGUGAAUUGCAGAAUUCAGUGAAUCAUCGAAUCUUUGAACGCACAUUGCGCCCUUUGGUAUUCCUUAGGGCAUGCCUGUUCGAGCGUCAUUUUCACCUUCAAGCACAGCUUGGUGUUGGGCGUCUGUCCUCCGGGACUCGCCUCGAAACGUUUGGCAGCCACUCCAGCGGCUUUGAGCGCAGCAGAAUUGCGUCUCUCGCGGCGAGGGGUGGCAUCCAUAAGCUACUUUUUUAUUUUGACCUCGGAUCAGGUAGGGAUACCCGCUGAACUUAA